rnacentral:rRNA from 1 species
AACGAACGCUGGCGGCAGGCCUAACACAUGCAAGUCGAACGGAUGUAGCAAUACAUUAGUGGCGCACGGGAGAGUAACACGUGGGAAUCUACCUUUUGGUUCGGAAUAACGUCGGGAAACUGACGCUAAUACCGGAUAAGCCCUACGGGGGAAAGUUUUUCGCCAAAAGAUGAGCCCGCGCUAGAUUAGCUUGUUGGUGAGGUAAUGGCUCACCAAGGCUACGAUCUAUAGCUGGUCUGAGAGGAUGACCAGCCUCACUGGGACUGAGACACGGCCCAGACUCCUACGGGAGGCAGCAGUGGGGAAUAUUGGACAAUGGGGGAAACCCUGAUCCAGCCAUGCCGCGUGAAUGAUGAAGGCCUUCGGGUUGUAAAGUUCUUUUGGUAGGGACGAUGAUGACGGUACCUACAGAAUAAGCUCCGGCUAACUUCGUGCCAGCCGCCGCCGUAA